rnacentral:rRNA from 1 species
CAAUAGCGUAUAUUAAAGUUGUUGCGGUUAAAAAGCUCGUAGUUGGAUUUCUGUUGAGAGCAGCGCGUCUACCUUUUGGGUAAGUAUGUUGCUUGGUCUCGGCAUCUUCGUGGAAAACGUUUCUGCGCUUGAUUGCGUGGGGCGGGGUUCACGACUUUUACUUUGAGGAAAUUAGAGUGUUCACGGCAGGCAUACGCCUUGAAUAUAUUAGCGUGGAAUAAUAACAUAGGGCUUACGGCCUAUUUUGUUGGUUUCUAGGCUGCAGGCAAUGAUUAAUAGGGACAAUUGGGGGCAUUCGUAUUAACGCGUCAGAGGUGAAAUUCUUGGAUUGCGUUACGACGAACUACUGCGAAAGCAUUUGCCAAGGAUGUUUUCAUUGA